rnacentral:rRNA from 1 species
CUGUACUGGUGAGAUGAGUCUCUACCUUCUGAGGAACUUUCAUGCCAUUCGUUUGGUGUGAUGGGAAAUCAGGACUGUUACUUUGAAAAAAUUAGAGUGUUUAAAGCUGGCUAACGUCUGAAUACAUUAGCAUGGAAUAAUGAAAUAGGACGGAUUGAUUCUAUUUCGUUGGUUUCUAGGGUCACCGUAAUGAUUAAUAGGGAUAGUUGGGGGCAUUAGUAUUCAAUUGUCAGAGGUGAAAUUCUUGGAUUUAUUGAAGACUAACUACUGCGGAAGCAUUUGCCAAGGAUGUUUUCAUUAAUCAAGAACGAAAGUUAGGGGAUCGAAGACGAUCAGAUACCGUCGUAGUCUUAACCAUAAACUAUGCCGACUAGGGAUCGGACGCAGUUAAUUUUAUAAUGACGUGUUCGGCACCUUACG